AUGUAUGGGGAAGAUUAUGCAUCUUCUGGUCAAGCUCAAGGAGGUACAGGACAAGGGUUUAAUUUUGAUCAGGAUAUAAUGAGUGAAAUUUUGAAACAAUUUGCAGGAGGUAGUAAUAAAGGUGGUAAUACUGGUAAUUUUCAGUUCAAAUUUAGUUCAGGUGGUAGUAAUUAUGGACAGGGUGGUAGUUAUGGUGGAGGAGGUAGAGGAGGGUCAGGGUUUCAUCCAUUUUUUGAAGAACAUGAAGAUAUAUACACUAAUAAUGAAAUAUUAAAAAUAAAUGCUAAUAAUUGGAAUGAUAUAUAUAAUGAUAUAACUUAUGCAUUAGUCAUAAAUUUUUAUUCACCAUCUUGUUCACAUUGUGUUUCUUUUAAAAAAAUUUAUAUAGAUUUAUCAAAAAGGUAUGAUGGAUAUAUUCGUUUUUCUGUUAUGAAUUGUGAUGAAGAAAAACAAUUGUGUAGAAAAUAUAAUGUUAAAUCAUUACCCCAUUUAAUUUUAAUGAAAAAAGAUAAUAGUUACGAAAAUUUUUAUGGUUCUAGAUCUAUCGAUAAUGUAAUAAAAUUUAUAAAUAAUAAUAUACCAUAUAGUUAUAUGGAAAUAAGUAAUAAACAAAAAUUAGAUUUAUUUUUAACAAAAAGUGGAGAUAUUCCGAAAGUUGUAUUUUUUCUUUCUCCUAGUAAUAAUAUUAUAAUGAUAAAAGCUUUAUCAGUUGAAUUUGAAAAAAGGAUAAAUCUAGCUAUUAUAUUUAAUACAAAUUAUAAUAUAAUAAAACUUUUUAAAAACAAAAAUAAUAUUGUAUUUCCAUCAAUUUUAGUAAUAGAUGAUAUAGAUACAUUAACAGGAGAUUUGACAAUUUUAAAAAAAAUAGAUUUUAAUGCUUUGUCUUUAAGAUUAAGUCAUAUAGUUGCACAACAUAGAUUACAAAAUAAUAUUUAUGGACAUAUAACCACUUAUCAAGAAUUAACAAAAAAAAAAUAUGAGUCUGGUCAAUGUCAUCAUAAAGAUUCACAAAUUUGUUUUUUUAUUUUAAAAUUAUUAAAAAAAAGUUAUAAAUUAUUUGAUGAAGAUAUAAAAAAAAUUGCAUCUAAAUUUUCAAGUGACCCUAUUAAAAUUUUAUAUAUUAAUAUAUUUAAGCAGCCAUAUAUAUUAGAAUCAUUUGGGUUGGUAAAUAAAUGCAACUAUGCUAACUGUCUUAUAUUAGUAGCAUUUAGACCAAAGAGGCAAAAAUUUAAAAUAUAUGAUGGAGAAGUAAACAUGAAUAAUGUUUAUAACUUUGUUGAAAAUGUUAUUAGUGGAGGGAUAGCUAUCAAUCAAAACUUGGUAAAAAAUUUGAGAUUUGUAAGUUCAACCUAUUAUGCUGAUGAGUUGUAA
rnacentral:lncRNA from 1 species